AUACGGAGGGUGCAAGCGUUGUUCGGAAUUACUGGGCGUAAAGCGCGUGCAGGCGGUAAGGUAAGUCAGAUGUGGAAGCCCCGGGCUCAACCCGGGAAGUGCAUUUGAUACUGCCUUUCUUGAGUAUGGGAGAGGAGAGUGGAAUUCCCAGUGUAGAGGUGAAAUUCGUAGAUAUUGGGAGGAACACCCGUGGCGAAGGCGACUCUCUGGACCAAUACUGACGCUGAGACGCGAAAGCGUGGGGAGCGAACAGGAUUAGAAACCCCAGUAGUCC
rnacentral:rRNA from 1 species